GGAGAAAUGACUCCGAGGUUUGUAGGAAGAGCGGUAUUACCGAAGGAAGGAGGACAGAGGCAGAGACAGAGGAGACAAAGCUGCUGUACCUGACGUGUUUCAGAGAUAACACCAUGCUGUGGUUUCUGGGGCUGGCCUGUGCGCUCUGUAUGGGAGGAAGUGCUGUUGUGGGACAGAGAGAUGGAGAAAUUAUCAGCCAGAUUAAGAUGACUAACCUCGCCUUGGCUGAGAUUAAAGAGCUGCUGAAACAACAGAUUAAAGAGAUAGUGUUCCUGAAGAACACCGUGAUGGAGUGUGAAGCCUGUGGGAUGGGAGGUAUGCAGCCUCGUCCCUCAUGUGUGCCCAACCCUUGCCACCCUGGGGUGAAGUGCGUGGAAACACCUCAGGGUAUACAGUGUGGGCCCUGUCCUGACGGCAUGGAAGGAAACGGUACCCAUUGCACUGACAUCGAUGAGUGCACUGUUAUGCCGUGUCACAUGGGUGUUCGCUGCAUCAACACCUCUCCGGGUUUCCGCUGUGGUUCCUGUCCUGCUGGAUACACUGGGCCGCAGGUGCAGGGCGUCGGCCUCGCCUACGCUACCACCAACAAACAGGUGUGUAAAGACAUCAAUGAGUGUGAUGGUCCCAACAAUGGAGGCUGUGUGGAGAACUCUGUCUGUAUGAACACCCCCGGCUCCUUCCGGUGUGGUCCAUGUAAGCCCGGUUAUGUUGGAGAUCAACGGCGUGGCUGUAAGCCUGAGAGAAGCUGUGGGAAUGGCCAACCCAACCCCUGCCAUGCCAGUGCAGAGUGUAUCGUCCACCGAGAGGGGACCAUUGAGUGUCAGUGUGGAGUUGGAUGGGCCGGUAAUGGCUACCUCUGCGGUCCUGACACUGACAUCGACGGAUUCCCUGAUGAGAAGUUGGACUGUCCUGAUAGGAACUGUAACAAGGAUAACUGUCUAACUGUUCCCAACUCUGGUCAAGAAGACGCCGACAGCGAUGGAAUUGGAGACGCCUGUGAUGAAGAUGCGGAUGGAGACGGGAUCCUAAACACACAGGAUAACUGUGUGCUGGUGCCCAAUGUGGACCAGAGGAAUGUUGAUGAGGACGACUUUGGCGAUGCCUGCGAUAACUGCCGUGCAGUGAAAAACAACGACCAGAAGGACACGGAUGUGGACAAAUUUGGUGACGAAUGUGAUGAAGAUAUAGAUGGAGAUGGAAUCCUCAAUCACCUCGACAACUGUAAAAGGGUUCCCAACGCUGACCAGAAAGAUCGAGAUGGAGACAAAGUCGGAGACGCAUGCGACAGUUGUCCUUAUAUACCCAACCCUGAGCAGACGGACGUGGACAAUGACCUGAUUGGAGACCCCUGUGACACCAACAAGGACAGUGAUGGCGAUGGUCACCAGGACUCUCGAGACAACUGUCCAGCUGUCAUCAACAGCUCGCAGCUGGACACUGACAAAGACGGAAAGGGAGACGAGUGUGAUGAUGAUGAUGAUAAUGACGGUAUCCCUGACCUUCUGCCACCUGGUCCUGAUAACUGUCGCCUGAUUCCUAACCCUCUGCAGGAGGACUCUGAUGGCAACGGUGUUGGUAACGUGUGCGAGAAGGACUUUGACAAUGACACUAUAGUCGACACCAUCGAUGUUUGUCCAGAAAAUGCAGAGGUCACCCUCACUGACUUCAGGGAGUACCAGACGGUUGUUCUAGACCCGGAAGGAGAUGCACAGAUCGACCCCAACUGGGUGGUUCUGAACCAGGGAAGAGAGAUCGUCCAGACUAUGAACAGUGAUCCUGGGUUGGCUGUUGGUUACACUGCUUUCAGCGGCGUUGAUUUUGAAGGCACGUUUCAUGUUAAUACGGUAACGGAUGACGACUACGCUGGUUUCAUCUUUGGCUACCAGGACAGCUCCAGUUUCUAUGUGGUCAUGUGGAAGCAGGUGGAGCAGAUCUACUGGCAGGCAAACCCAUUCAGAGCUGUGGCAGAGCCGGGAAUCCAACUGAAGGCAGUCAAGUCAAACACUGGUCCUGGUGAAAAUCUGAGGAACGCCCUGUGGCACACCGGUGACACCAGUGACCAGGUGAAACUCCUGUGGAAAGACGCUCGUAAUGUUGGCUGGAAAGACAAGACGUCGUACCGCUGGUUCCUCCAGCACCGACCUGCUGAUGGUUACAUCAGAGUUCGCUUCUACGAGGGUCCUCAGAUGGUGGCAGACACGGGAGUCAUCAUAGACGCCACAAUGAGGGGAGGCCGGCUAGGAGUCUUCUGCUUUUCCCAGGAAAACAUCAUCUGGGCCAACCUGAGAUAUCGUUGCAACGACACUCUUCCUGAGGACUUUGAAACCUACAGAGCCCAGCAGGUCCAGUUGGUCGCAUGAUGACAACAAACAGGUCCAAGCAAACAUUGUUUUCCAACGCACAACUGGUUAGGAAAAUGUCUCCAAUUUUAAGAUGAAAACUGCUCGAGUGAGGAGAAAAUUACACCGCUAUAAAAACUCUUCAGAGAGGAGCCGGUAAUAUA
ensembl:lncRNA cartilage oligomeric matrix protein